rnacentral:rRNA from 1 species
AACGAACGCUGGCGGCAUGCCUAACACAUGCAAGUCGAACGAGAUCUUCGGGUCUAGUGGCGCACGGGUGCGUAACGCGUGGGAAUCUGCCCUUUGGUUCGGAGUAACAGUUGGAAACGACUGCUAAUACCGGAUGAUGACGAAAGUCCAAAGAUUUAUCGCCAGAGGAUGAGCCCGCGUAGGAUUAGCUAGUUGGUGUGGUAAAGGCGCACCAAGGCGACGAUCCUUAGCUGGUCUGAGAGGAUGAUCAGCCACACUGGGACUGAGACACGGCGCAGACUCCUUCGGGAGGCAGCAGUGGGGAAUAUUGGACAAUGGGCGAAAGCCUGAUCCAGCAAUGCAGCGUGAGUGAUGAAGGCCUUAGGGUUGUAAAGCUCUUUUACCCGGGAUGAUAAUGACAGUACCGGGAGAAUAAGCUCCGGCUAACUCCGUGCCAGCCGCCGCCGUAA